rnacentral:rRNA from 1 species
AUGAACGCUGGCGGCGUGCUUCACACAUGCAAGUCGAACGAUGAUGCCCAGCUUGCUGGGUGGAUUAGUGGCGAACGGGUGAGUAACACGUGAGUAACCUGCCCUUGACUCUGGGAUAAGCCUGGGAAACUGGGUCUAAUACCGGAUACGACCAUCUGGCGCAUGUCAUGGUGGUGGAAAGCUUUUGUGGUUUUGGAUGGACUCGCGGCCUAUCAGCUUGUUGGUGGGGUAAUGGCCUACCAAGGCGACGACGGGUAGCCGGCCUGAGAGGGUGACCGGCCACACUGGGACUGAGACACGGCCCAGACUCCUACGGGAGGCAGCAGUGGGGAAUAUUGCACAAUGGGCGCAAGCCUGAUGCAGCGACGCCGCGUGAGGGAUGACGGCCUUCGGGUUGUAAACCUCUUUCAGUAGGGAAGAAGCGAAAGUGACGGUACCUGCAGAAGAAGCGCCGGCUAACUACGUG